AUAAAAUAAUAAUAAAUAAUAAAUAUAUAUAUGGGUUCCCACAUUAAAUUUCUUUUUAACUUACUAUUAAGGCUUCAUUUUUUUCAAAGAACAGCAUGAAAUAAGAUGAAAUAGAAUGGUAUUUCGUGUUGGACAGCUUUGUGUCAUAUUUUAAAUGCAGAACAAUUAUUCUGUAAUAACAAUUUCAUAAUCUCAACUUUUAGUUAAAAUUUUAAAUGUGCAGAAUAGAUAUUUUCAAAUUUGUGGAAUAAAAAUUUCAUAUAUAAUUGCAGACUGAAGGACCACAGAAUGGAAUUCCAUUCCCAUUCUAAUUACAGAAUCAAACAAAGCUUAAAGUUAAUGUUUUUCAGUGAUAUAGGUCUGUUCACAUUACAGUUUUUCAGUGAUAUAGUCCCUUAAGCAAUGAAUUGCCAAGGGCUUGCAGUUAAGAUAUCCAGCGUAUUUUAACUUUCUGAUUAAACAUUUGUUUCUCUAUUUCAUUAUUGAUGGUUUGGGUUUAUCUUUGGUAGACGAAAUGCUUUCCAAGGAAGUUGGGAGGCUUCAAAAGCUCCAAGAGCAACUUUUUUCUAGUUCAAAGGAUUACAAUAAUGAUAAUAUGCAGCAGAAUAUUCUUGAAACUGCUCAAGUUACGCCAGGAAAGAUGACCAGUGACUCAAUAAGAAGAAUAACGAGAAAGCGCAGCCGAGAUGAUGGAACUCAGAUGGAAGGUGUUGGUACUCCUGGUCAAAUUGAUCACAAUGAUUUAUUGGUAAGGGAAUCAGCACAGGGCUCAUCAAGGGAAACUUUGUCCAUUGUGGAUCUGGAAAGUGAGCAGCAGGUAACUGUGUAAUUUUAUGCUUUUAUAGAAAGAGCAAUCUAUUUCCUUGUGUUUUUCUAACUUUGUUAGUGUGAUUCUCCAGCCUGAAUGUUGUAAAAGAACUGUUUGCAAAUCAGUCAAUGGUGUCAUGAAUGAUAGUGGUUCUACCAACUGCCAGUUUCAAGCUCUUAUUGAAUACUUACUGGGCAUGAAAUUUUCUAGCGUGAACCAAACUGAAGGAAUAUGCAUUUCAGCUCUGCAUCAAUCAAGUGGUUACUCAUUCAGUCUAACAUGGGUAAAGAGGGCUGGUGCAGAAGAACCAGAGCUGCUAUACCGUGUGUCAACAUUAGGGACAUUUGAGAGGGUAGCACCAGAGUGGAUGAGAUCGGUCCUGAUGUUCAGCACAAGCAUGUGCCCAAUCUUCUUUGAAAGGGUAUCCCGCGUUAUCAAGAUGCAUCACUGAUGGUUCUUUCUUAUUUGCUUCGUUGGCGGUGCUGCUAAUAUCUAUUGAUUUUCUUAACAUUGUAAGCGCGGAGAACUUUUAAGGAUAGGACUUGCACCAAGGGAUUCAACUUAUCUUUUGUGCCUACUUGUCAUGGAAUGUAUUUUAAUAGAAGCCAAACUUUACUAACAUGACAUUCAACCUAUUAAGUGUAGCAAUGCCUAGUCGGAACUCUUUCCAAUGCAAAUAUCGAGGUUCGAGCAUUUCCGAGUACUGUUUUAUUAUAGUAACUUGUAAAAUUUGUGGUGUAGAGAUUCUCCUUUUGUAAUAAAUUUUACUAGCGACUUCCGUCAGC
rnacentral:misc_RNA from 1 species